rnacentral:rRNA from 1 species
CAAGCGGCGAAAGGGUGAGUAAUGCAUAGAUAACCUACCUUCAGGAGGGGGAUAACGGCGUCCGAAAGGACUUUACCGAAAGGGCCGCUAAUACCCCAUAAAGUUGCGGGCUGCAUGGUCUUGCAGCCAAGAGGUGGUGCGAAGGCACUUCUGCCUGAAGAGGGGUCUGUGUCCUAUCAGCUAGUUGGUGAGGUAAAGGCCCACCAAGGCUGUGACGGGUAGCCGGCCUGAGAGGGUGGUCGGCCACAUUGGGACUGAGACACUGCCCAGACUCCUACGGGAGGCUGCAGUCGAGGAUCUUUCGCAAUGCCCGAAAGGGUGACGAAGCGACGCCGCGUGGGGGAAGAAGGCCUUCGGGUUGUAAACCCCUGUCAGGAGUUAGGAAGGGUAGGGUGUGAAUAGCAUUCCUGCUAGACGAAAGCUCCAGAGGAAGUCA